GUUGAGCAUAUUUAAUUUGUAAUUUGUAUAUUUAAUAACACAUUAUUGCGUGUCGUUCUAUGGUUUUAAUAAAUGUGUUGUCAUCUCAUUUUUAUUACUACUAAUAUGAUUUUUUAGUGAUCAAUGAUAAUGUAUUUUAAACGUUAUGUAUUAUAUUUUAUUGUAUAUUUUUUAACUCUUCGUGCUGGCACUUUUUUUAGAAUCAUUUUAAUUAGAUAAUAGGUUUUAAGAUGUAAAUAAAACUGUGUAUGUUGUAAAUUUAGACUUCUUAGUGUAGCUGAGCACUAUCAAUUAUGGAAAUUAUAUUAUGAUUUUAUUUUACAUAAUCUUUUUUUCUGUGUAUUUUUUUUGUUUUAUUUUGUAUUUUUACAAUUUUAUUGCAUUAUUCUUUAACUGCAGAGAAUUGAUAUUUCUAAUUUUUGUUUCAUAUACCUUAAAAGUCUUCGGUUGAUUUUUGUUUGUUUUCUUUCUCCAAUUAUAAUGUAUAGUUCGACCGUUUCUUCUUUUUUUUUGGAUCAAACUACUAAUAUCAUCAGAUAGAAAAGCUUAAACUCUAAGAAUUAAGUGAGUAUUUGUGCUAGAGAAAACUGAUUUAACCAAUAAUAUAGUGAGAUAUUAUAAUAUUAGAAGGUAUGGAAACUCUUCUAUGUUGUCCUACGCUGGACAUAAUUAAGUUGUUGUCAAUUGAUUUUAUAUUUGUGAUAACUGGAAAUGCAUCUUUAUGUCUUCCUUACAUCAUCCUUAAUUGGUUUGCGGUUCGACUAUUUCUAAUAUACUGAGAGUAACAUAAAAUUAGAUGUUGAUUAUCUCCUCCCAAUUAGGAAUGCACAGAAUGAGAGAAAUUCAAGAUGAGACCAGUUUACAAUUUUGUCCUCAUAUCUAUAUAGAGUUAGUUUAUAGAUUACUCUAUUUGUUUCAAAAUGUAAUCAAUUUUAAUUAAAAUAUGUAAUAUUUAAAACUUAUUACUUUAGAAAUCUGUCAUUUAAUAUAUAAAUUUAAUCAAUUACACAGUAAUUUACAUAAUUUAAUUGGCUACACAAUAUCC
rnacentral:lncRNA from 1 species